UACGGGGGGGGCAAGCGUUGUUCGGAAUUACUGGGCGUAAAGGGCGCGUAGGCGGCCUGCUAAGUCGGAUGUGAAAUCCCUCGGCUCAACCGAGGAACUGCAUCCGAUACUGGCGGGCUUGAAUCCGGGAGAGGGAUGUGGAAUUCCAGGUGUAGCGGUGAAAUGACGUAGAUAUCUGGAGGAACACCGGUGGCGAAGGCGGCAUCCUGGACCGGUAUUGACGCUGAGGCGCGAAAGCUAGGGGAGCAAACGGGG
rnacentral:rRNA from 1 species